UGCUCAUUCUAGCUUCAAGUUCAUUGUCUACAGCUCCUUUUCUUCAGGAUGAGCAGAUGCUUAUUUUAGCUUCACGGUUUAUAGAUACGUAUCUCCAGACUGAACAAGAUGCUUAUUCUCGGUUUAUAGAUAUGUUUCUCAAGGCUUAUCAAGACGCUCAUUCUAGCUUCACGGUUGAUAUAAAUAGAUAUCCCUCUCCAGGAAGAACAAGACCCCCAUUCUAACUUCAUGGUUUACAGAUAUGCCUCUCUAGACUUAUCAAGAUGCUCAUUCUAGCUACACAAUUUAUAGAUACUUUUCUCCAGACUGAACAAGACGUCCAUAUCAGUACUUCACUGUCUACAACUGCUCUUCAGGCUGUUCACGGCCGGCUGUUGCUUAGAGGUUGGCACAUUCGGAAAGUUCAGCGUGUGGUCCGAGCAGCACUCUACAGCAGCGGCAUCGCCGUGAUGCCGCCACAGUAGCCUCUCGUCUCUCACCUAGAAAGCAUUCCUUCUCUUUCAUCGUGAGCUCCAGUGGAGAGCGUGCGACAGCAGCCUUAGCCCGGGUAUUCGUCAAUGUGUUAUGUAGAAGCUGGUCUUCUGGCGCAGUAGGGGGACGAGCACAACGUCAUUAACUAGGGAUUAGCGAAACUCGGGGGGAAAGAGCCUAGUUACAAACCCCGUCAGUGACGUUUGAAUAGGAUACUUAUUGCCCAAUCCAAGCGCAAACUAGCUAGAAAUAAGCAGAGGUAGGUAGACAGGUAAGCAGGUAGGGUAGAUAGGUAGGAAGGUAAGGAAGUACUCUUGAACUAAGGCUGGAUCAAGCUCACGUGUUCAAAGUGGCUACCAAAAACUCCGCGACCGUAGCUUCUUCCAGAGAAGCUCGGUCCGCCGAAGAUCAGAGCACGGACCAGAACAA